rnacentral:rRNA from 1 species
AGCGAACGCUGGCGGCAGGCUUAACACAUGCAAGUCGAACGAAGUCUUCGGACUUAGUGGCGGACGGGUGAGUAACACGUGGGAACGUACCUUUUGGUUCGGGAUAACACAGGGAAACUUGUGCUAAUACCGAAUGUGCCCUUAGGGGGAAAGAUUUAUCGCCAUUAGAGCGGCCCGCGUUAGAUUAGCUAGUUGGUGGGGUAAAGGCCCACCAAGGCUACGAUCUAUAGCUGGUCUGAGAGGAUGAUCAGCCACACUGGGACUGAGACACGGCCCAGACUCCUACGGGAGGCAGCAGUGGGGAAUCUUGCGCAAUGGUCGAAAGACUGACGCAGCCAUGCCGCGUGAAUGAUGAAGGUCUUAGGAUUGUAAAAUUCUUUUACCAGGGACGAUAAUGACGGUACCUGGAGAAAAAGCUCCGGCUAACUUCGUGCCAGCAGCCGCUGUAACAC